UCAUAUAUAAGUAGUGGCAGGUAGUUUCAUGUAUUAAAACGUUGUAGUGUCAAGUCUAUGGAGAAAGUGGAAAUCUUCGGCCGCGUGGUUUUUUAUUUUAUGACGUUCUAUUUGUAGUUUAGAAAAAAUAUGUUAGAUGUAUUAGUGAGGGUUGUGGGCAAUUUUUGAAAUUUGGCAAUGAUUUAUUUGACUGAGUUUUAUGCUGGGUUGUCUCGAUAAAUAUCGGUGCCAGUAAUCACGGAUAUACCGAGGGGGCGGAAUAGGAUUGGUUUGGUUUAGGUUGUUUUAAAGUGGGUUUUUAUUAUUUUUGUGGAGAAUAGCUUAAGUAGGAGUAGAAUGAAUUGGGCUAGUGUAAGAGCGCGUUUUUGAGAAUUGGAUUAGGUACCCAAGUAUUGUGUUAUUUGAUGAGUAAGUAAUAUUAUUAUAUUAAGAAAUUGAAAAAUUAGGCGGUUUACUUUAAACAGGGGAGGUUGAUGGAUAAGCUGAUAAUCCUCGUUAAUAAUUUGUUUAGUUGUUAUUUUGUGUAUGUCCAUUUAAUGCUUAUAUAAUAUGAGGGUUAGGGUUUAGAUUAGGUCGCCAUGCUUUUGGCUAAAUUUAAUUGAGCUACAGUAUCUUUGUGAUGUGGAGUGACUUAUUGUGAGAGUUGUGAAAGAGGACUUGUCAGUAAAUGUAUUUUAGUUGGAUGUUUUGAAGUGUUAAUUAAAAGUAAGAGCACUUACCGCCCGCCACCAAAAACGCAAGAUUUUGUAAGGCGUAACAAGGUAGUUUUUCUAGAAAGAGAGACUGGUAGAUAGACUCGUGGUUGUAAGUGGUUAUGUUUGAUAGCUGAGUGUGGUGCAGGUUUAGUAUAAAAUGUUGCUC
rnacentral:rRNA from 1 species